CUGGGAACCUUAAAGCUUAUUUACACAAAUUACCAUUUAUUUCAUAAAUAUCUUUUUUUUUUUUCCCCUGGGGACUCAAGGCAGAAGUGCCACUCCCUCCGUUGACCACGGCUGGGAGGGGUGCCUGUCUCUUCAGGGAAGAGGUGGGGAGACUAACAGGUUCCCUCCCAGCUCAGGUCUACACUGACUUCAGUCGUAACUGGUUCCAGCAUCCCUCAACCCAGUUUUAUCACGCGGUCUAGGCCCAAGGUCCAGGGCUCUGGGACUCCCUCCGAUGCUCCCACCCCUGGCCCCUGCACCUUCUGGCUUCUGCAGGGACCGCUGGGCCCUGGAUGAGGCCUCUCCCACCUCGCUGGAAGACCAGAGACACCUUCGGAUGCCACCUUGACGCUGGAGCGGAUCUGGACCUAGCCCAGCAGCUCCCAAGUGACUGUGUUUCCAGCAGCCUGAUCCUUGUUGAGGCCCAGGGAAGUGUCCCAGGCCCCGACUUGCCAGACGAGGCUCUAUUCCGGCUGCUGCAGCCCACUUUUCUCCUUUAUUUAAAUAAAUACUCAUUCUGUGCUGUACACGUCCCAAGCAGCAGGGGCAGGCAGCCCGGGUGGCCUGCGUGGCAGGGGAGCAGCUGGGCAGCCCCUCACUUGGGCGACUCCCGGCCUGGGGAGAGGGCUCGCUGGCUCUCCAGCCCACUCACCAGUCUCUGGAUGCUCUGCAGUUCAUUGGCCGCCUCCUUGGCCGAGCCACUGGGCGACAGGGCACCGCGGGAUGGGGCCCCUACUUUGCGGAGAGCCAGCUCGGGCAGGGGGCUAGGCUCCCGGCUGUUUCCACCAGCGGCCUUGGAGCCCUCAGAGGCCAGCCCGGUGGUGAGGAGGCUAGUGCUAGGCGGGAUGGUGACCGGGAUCUGAUAGGGGCUGAAACGCAGUCGGGGCCGGGCACUGCCCAGGAAGGGGCUCCGGGAGAGGGAGCCGGCGGCUGCGGCGGCGGCAGCUGCAGCACUAGUGGCGGGCAAAGCCGAGGCGGCUGCGGCUGCUGCUGCCAUGUAGGUGUAGGGGUAGGGGAAGAGGCCUCCGAAAGUGGGCAUUGGAAUUCCCUGGAAGAAACAGAACAAGACGAGGGUUAGACAUCUUGCCUGAAGUCUUUCUGAAGUUGGGCUGGGUGCUAUCCCCUGGACACCGUGCCCUUCUGUUUUAGGGAUGUAAAACCACAAUUCGCAUAACUAUAACCACAGGCAGCACAGGUAAGCAUGAGCCAGUGUGCCUGUGGCCAAACCCAGUUAGAAGGGUGAGAUCGCUUCAGGCUACCAUGCAAAGGCCUGCCAUCAAGUUCUGUGCUGGGCAUUACAGCAGGGGUAAUGGAAAGGACAUUCCAGGUGACUGCCCUAGCACGGGUGAAGGCCUUGAGGGAGAAAACGGGGCAGGCAUAGGGCCAGGUGGCAAACAGGCAGCUUUGGGUGUCUUGGAGGUUCUGCUCAUUGAGAACAGUGUCCUCGCCACCCCUCCUAUCUGCAGGCUCUGAAGGGCAGAGGGCACACAUGCUGGGGAAGGCACUUUGCAAAGUCUCCUUCUGCCUGCUCAUGGUUCUCCUGCCUGGGCCAGGAGGAGGACACGGGUGCCAACCAGUUCAUAAACUGGCCUGAAAGUUCUACAGGGAAUGCCUGGCAGCACCUCACUGGCAGCUGAGGAAGGAAUGCAGUCUUUGCCUGUGAAGGGCACAGCAGCCAGGAACUCCUGGACAAGCACCUUCCUGAGUUCAUGAGGUCUGGCUGGUGCACGGCCUGACCUUUGAGAUAAUGGCUUACUCCCCAGAGCUAGUGGGUAUGGGGAGGAGGGCAGGGGGCUGAUGAUUGCACUGGGCUCCCAGGGAGCCUCAGGCCUGGCUCUAGCAGGAAGAAGAAAAGAGGCAGCUUCAUCAGGCCUGAGAAAAUACCCCCUCCUGAGACAGUCAGGUCCUACUGGGCAUUUCAGACCUGGCAUCCCAGGUUGGGAGGAAGGAGGGAGGCUUCAGUUCUCUUGGGAUUUGGCUCUACCUGAUGUCUGGGAUGGGCUGCACUGGCCUGGGAAUGUAACCACCAGCAGCCCUACCAACGGAUGCCUCCCAGGUGCUGGUAUUCUCACCCGGGUCAUGCACCUGUUGGCCAGGCUGUGUCUAGAAGCCCUGACUUCCUCAUGACCUCUGUGAUGCUGGUGAUUAUUACCAGUUUGUCUGGGGAGGAGGCAUUCAUAUACACAAAUAAUCAGGGGUGCAGAUUAAACCUCUGGGCCCUGAACUUUCUCCAGAGGCUUCCCUUCCAGCCCAGAGCCCCAGAUGAGUGAUGGUGAUACCUCAAACACUCCACACACCCUAACACUGAGCUGUGUGUAAAACUCAUUUCAGAAUCGCCUGCCUCCCAACCCCCCACCCCCCCACCCACCAACCCAACUUUUAAAAUAUUUGCUGCUGAAGCAAAGGAGCUUUCUCAGACCUGAACUGCUAUUUUCCUUCCCUUGAGAUAAGAUCUCAGGGGUUCAAUUUGCCAGAAACCUCAGAGGGAAGAAAAUGAAUGAAGAGAUUCCAAAUCUUUCCACAGGGAAUAUUCCACCCAAGCAACCAAAGAGGCCACUGUCCCCAUCGGAUCUCCUUACUGUGCCCCAGCCACAUUUUCGUCAACACUCCCCUGGGAGCUUGGAAUUUCAAUGGGGCCUGAAGAGCUGAGUUCUCAUCCCUGACAUGUGGCUGGGGGUGCUGGGAACUCAAGGUAGGGGAAAGACCAGCCUUGUCCUUCACCAGGACAGAGGACUUCGUAGAAGGCCUGGGAGGGGCCAGAGACCUCUGGGAGGGCUGGUGGUCAACUGUCCAGAAAAUAAUGCAAAUGUUCCUUCUCCCUUUGUCUGUCUGGCCACCUUAGCCUUUCAGAAUGGACAGGGAGCCAAGGGUCUUUGUUCUCAAGAAAAAUGUCCUGAGGCCAGGAGAGAAGACUUCACAAGCCAGGGGUGGCCCUGGUCUGUGAGGGUGAGAAGAGUCUCGAUGGGCACCGCACUCCUCGCUGGGGCUAUAGGGAAGGAAGCAGGCCCAGAGAGGGUCAGGGACUUGCCAAAGGUCACACGGGAGUCAGAAGCGGCGCCCUGGCCAGCCCCUGGACUUACAACACAGUCCUCGUCUCUCAGAACCCAGGUGUCCUAAAGGGCAUCCCGGGGCCUCCCCUGGAUGGAGUUCUUGCCUGCCAGAGGAUCCCAGCGACCCUGGCACCCCUCAGGCCCUCCGCUGGCCUCGCCGCCAGCUCCCUGGGCCUUCUCCCUCGCUGGCGCUGCCGCGGGGUCACAGGCCUUACCUGAGAUGCCAGCAUGUGCUGGGAGAGGUGGAACGGGAAGGGCGCGGCGGUGCUUGCUGCGCUGGCCGCGGGACCCAGCCCGCCUGCGUCCAGCCCCGCGGCGGUCCCAGGCCCGCCACCUCCGCCGUUGCCGCCGCCUGCCACCGAGGCCAGUAGGUGACCCAUGCCCAUGGCGGAGAAGGCGCCAGGGCCCAUGGUGAACUGUCCAGGGUGCAGGAAGAGCGGCUGGCCGGCUCCCAGCGGCCCAAAGAACUGCUGCCCGUGCAAGUGGCUGGAAAAGGCCAGGCCGGGCAGGUGUCCGGCGCCCAGGGGGGACGCACUGUCUGUCUGCACCACCAGCGGCGCCAGGCCCUGCUCCUUGCCCUCGGCCGCCUCCUUGCGCCCCUCGGGGCUUCCCGUCCGGCGCACCGCAAGGGGCACCCGGCUCUGUGCGCGGGGGCGGCGGGGGCUCUGCGCGGGGCCGGGCUGGGCCGGGCUGAGCUGGCCCGCUCCGGCGCCGGGGACCACGCGCGACUGGUUAGAUCUUGUCGUGAUCUCU
rnacentral:lncRNA from 1 species